CCUACGGGAGGCAGCAGUGAGGAAUAUUGGGCAAUGGGCGAAAGCCUGAACCAGCCAAGUCGCGUGAGGGAUGAAGGUUCUAUGGAUCGUAAACCUCUUUUAUAAGGGAAUAAAGUGCGGGACGUGUCCCGUUUUGUAUGUACCUUAUGAAUAAGGAUCGGAUAACUCCGUGCCAGCAGCCGCGGUAAUACGGAGGAUCCGAGCGUUAUCCGGAUUUAUUGGGUUUAAAGGGUGCGUAGGGGGCCUUUUAAGUCAGGGGUGAAAGUCUGUGGCUCAACCAGAGGAUUGCCGGUGAAACUGGGUGUCUUGAGUGUGUUUGAGGCAGGCGGAAUGCGUGGUGUAGCGGUGAAAUGCUUAGAUAUCACGCAGAACCCCGAUGGCGAAGGCAGCCUGCCGGGCCAUAACUGACGCUGAUGCACGAAAGCGUGGGUAUCGAACAGGAUUAGAUACCCCAGUAGUC
rnacentral:rRNA from 1 species